UUCAGAACCUAACCAACACACGGAGACAACUUCCUGCCACGAGCGUUUCGCAAGAUGAGAACCGAGACAAGGUAGUCACAGUUUGGAUAAUGGAUUUCUUAUCCAAGACUAUUCACAAGGACAGAGGGAAUACAGGUGCCACGAUUACAAUAUGGCUGGCAGCAGACAGAGAAGAGAAGCCUUGCGUAUCGCUGGGAAACACAGCCUCCUGCCUCCCCGUCUGACAGGCCUAUGUUGUCAUGGCAACAUGCUGUGGCGCAGCACUUAUUGGGAUUCAGAUUCAGACGGAUGGUGGGGCUGGUGGGCGACUGCAUUAGCCGUCCGGGGAUUUGGUUUGGUCCUUCCUUGCAGCGAGCCCUGCCUGUCUGAGAGCCACAGCACCGCAGAGCUCCCAGGCUCCAACACCACCGCAUUGGAGGCUCGCCGCCCUUUGUUUCCACUCUGGAUAUGUGUCAGUGUGUGUGUGUGAGUCUGCAGCAGAAAUGCAGCAGCCGAUGGACUUUUCUAUCUUCUGCUUAUGGCAGGCGAUGUGCUUCAGCCUUGAUGCGGAUUUCCCCUGGUUUGUGCCGCUUUCCUUGUAUUUUCAUCUGGAAAUUGCCCGCAUAUCUGCGGUUUCAGUUGAUUCUUUUCAAUAAGGGCUGAUAUGACCAA